rnacentral:rRNA from 1 species
GGGCCCGCACAAGCGGCGGAGCAUGUGGAUUAAUUCGAUGCAACGCGAAGAACCUUACCUAGGCUUGACAUGCACGGAAAUCUCGCAGAGAUGCGGGGUCCGUAAGGGCCGUGCACAGGUGGUGCAUGGUUGUCGUCAGCUCGUGUCGUGAGAUGUUGGGUUAAGUCCCGCAACGAGCGCAACCCUCGUUCCAUGUUGCCAGCGGAUAAUGCCGGGGACUCAUAGGAGACUGCCGGGGUCAACUCGGAGGAAGGUGGGGAUGAGGUCAAGUCAUCAUGCCCCUUAAGUCCAGGGCUUCACGCAUGCUACAUUGGCCGGUACAGCGGGUUGCGAUACCGUGAGGUGGAGCGAAUCCCUGUAAAGCCGGUCCUGGUUCGGAUUCGAGUCUGCAACUCGACCCCAUGAAGUCGGAGUCGCUAGUAAUCGCAGA